rnacentral:ncRNA from 2 species
AAAUCCCUAGCGGGAGAGUCCGUUUUCCAAGACAGGUUGGAAGCUUCCGACCGGUUUCGCUGAAAACGGCGCCGAAGGCGCAACCGCCCCGGAAACGCUCAGGCCCACGGACCGCUAGGGGAUG